rnacentral:rRNA from 1 species
CUGAGUUUGAUCCCUGGCUCAGGACGAACGCUGGCGGCGUGCCUAACACAUGCAAGUCGAGCGAUGAAGCUUCUUCGGAAGUGGAUUAGCGGCGGACGGGUGAGUAACACGUGGGCAACCUGCCUCAUAGAGAGGGAUAGCCUUUCGAAAGGAAGAUUAAUACCUCAUAAGAUUGUAGUUUCGCAUGAAACGGCAAUAAAAGGAGCAAUCCGCUAUGAGAUGGGCCCGCGUCGCAUUAGCUAGUUGGUAAGGUAAUGGCUUACCAAGGCGACGAUGCGUAGCCGACCUGAGAGGGUGAUCGGCCACAUUGGGACUGAGACACGGCCCAGACUCCUACGGGAGGCAGCAGUGGGGAAUAUUGCACAAUGGGGGAAACCCUGAUGCAGCAACGCCGCGUGAGUGAUGAAGGUCUUCGGAUUGUAAAACUCUGUCUUUGGGGACGAUAAUGACGGUACCCAAGGAGAAGCCACGGCUAA